GAAUAUGAGUUUUUGUGGCCUUACCUCUGAAAUGUCUUUCCUCCUUCUGCUUUAGAUCCAAAAAUUAUUUAAUAAGGAAUUUGGAGAAGCGUGCAAUAUUGAGUUGCCUGGUAGGGCAGAGAGAGCAGCUUUUUUUGAGGACCUAAUUCUAAAUCAAGUGGCUAAGCCUCCUGUAAAGAAAACAGUUGAUCGGACAUUGGAAGUCCUGCUUGUAGCACCACCAGCUGAGCCUCAGAAGCCACAAGAGGAAGAAGUAGGGAUGCUGGAGGAGGAAGAGGAGGAUACCUUGCGUGAACUUAGAAUUUUCUUGAGGGACGUUACUCACAGACUUGCCACUGACAGACGUUUCAGGGAAUUUGCAAAGCCCGUUGACCCACAGAAGGUACCUGACUAUGCCACAAGGAUUAAAGAGCCGAUGGAUCUUUCAACAGUUCUGACUCAAAUUGACUCGCGCCAGUACCUCACUGCAGGAGACUAUCUGAAGGACAUCGAUCUAAUCUGUAACAAUGCCUUAGAGUACUACCCAGAUCAAAGGUCUACAAGUGAGGAUGUGCUUUUUAGCCCUAGUUUAAAAAAUCUGUCAAACGUAUAGAUGGAUAAAUGCUGUGUGCGGACAACAGACUUUGGAUGGAUUAGAUGAUUUUGGACAUCCACAGAGAACAUCUCUUACCACAUUGUAAAUAUUUUAUCAUUUUGCUACUUGGGCAUGGAAGUGUGAUAUAAAUGUUCCCAAGGAACUAGUGCUUUUGUUUUAAUUAACUUCUAUGUUGUUAUGCUGAAAAUAUUCACUGAGAUAACCUUUCGGAACCAACCUAUGAAGAAAGCAAUUUUUUUCUGUGAUCAAAACAGUUUCAUUGGUUGGUAGACAACAUUCAGUUAAAGUCUGUAAAAUUUCAGAUUGUCACAGAGCCUAUGUUUUGCAAGACACUGCAUAUUCAAUGGUGAGGAACAAAAUGGAUACAGAGUUUGGACGACUUUGUGAACAAAUUAAAGAAUCUCGUGAGAAAAGAGGUCGCACCUCUCCAGCAUGUGCUCCAUGCGACAACUCCAAGUCACCACAGCAGAACCCUGCUACUGAAGACGACAAACCAGAUGAAGAGAGUAAUGAAAAUGAAGAGAUGACAGCGGCACCUGUAGAUGCCAGUACACCCAUUUCUAAUGGUGCGUCAGAAAGAAAGCGCAGAAGGAACAACUGUGCGCAUGCUGCAGCAAAGAGAAGAAGGAGUUCUCAAUUCGAUACAGAGAACAGAGUACCAACAGAUGACCAAAACGAUAGCGAU
rnacentral:lncRNA from 1 species